rnacentral:rRNA from 1 species
CAUGCAAGUCGAACGAGGAUAUAUCCUUCGGGGUAUAAGCCGAGUGGCGCAAGGGUGAGUAAUGCAUAGAUUACCUGCCUCUAGGAUAAGGACAACUUUGUGAAAACGAAGCUAAUACUUAAUAAUACAAAAGAAAAUAAUUUUCUUUUGUCAAUGGGAGGGUAGCAAUACCUUUUGCCUAGAGAGGGGUUUAUGUCCUAUCAGCUUGUUGGUGGGGUAAUGGCCUACCAAGGCGAAGACGGGUAGCCGGUCUUAGAGGAUGGUCGGCCACACUGGGACUGAGACACUGCCCAGACUUCUACGGAAGGCUGCAGUCGAGAAUCUUUCGCAAUGCCCGAAAGGGUGACGAAGCGACGCCGCGUGAGUGAGGAAGGCCUUAGGGUUGUAAAGCUCUGUCAGGAGUUAAGAAAUAUAAGUGUGUUAAUACCACAUUUAUUUGACGAAGGCUCCAAAGGAAGCCACGGCUAACUCUGUGCCAGCAGCCGCGGUAAUACAGAGGUGGCAAGCGUUGUUCGGAAUUAUUGGGCGUAAAGAGCACGUAGGUGGGUUUGUGAGUCAGAUGUGAAAGCCUUCUGUUCAACGGAAGAAUUGCAUCUGAAACUGCAAGUCUUGGGUGUAGGAGGGGAGAAUGGAACUUCUGGUGGAGCGGUGAAAUGCGUAGAUAUCAGAAGGGACGCCGGCGGCGAAAGCGAUUCUCUGGCCUAUUACUGACACUCAGUGUGCGAAAGCUAGGGGAGCAAACGGGAUUAGAUACCCCGGUAGUCCUAGCCGUAAACGAUGGGCACUAAGUAGAGGGGAUUACCGAUGUUCUCUCUGCCGUAGCUAACGCAUUAAGUGCCCCGCCUGGGGAGUACGGCCGCAAGGCUAAAACUCAAAAGAAUUGACGGGGGCUCGCACAAGCGGUGGAGCAUGUGGCUUAAUUCGAUGCAACGCGAAAAACCUUACCGGGGCUUGACAUGGUAGAAGUAGGAACCCGAAAGGGUAACGAACGGUAUCCAGUCCGUAGCUAUCACAGGUGUUGCAUGGCUGUCGUCAGCUCGUGUCGUGAGACGUUGGGUUAAGUCCCCUAACGAGCGAAACCCUUGUUUUUAGUUACCAGCGGGUUAUGCCGGGUACUCUAGAAAGACUGCCGUCGUCAAGACGGAGGAAGGUGGGGAUGACGUCAAGUCAUCAUGGCCCUUAUGCCCCGGGCUGCACACGUGCUACAAUGGUCGGUACAAACGGAAGCGAAGCCGAGAGGUGAAGCGAAUCCUAAAAAGCCGAUCUCAGUUCGGAUUGGAGGCUGAAAUUCGCCUCCAUGAAGUUGGAAUCGCUAGUAAUCGCGGAUCAGCAAUGCCGCGGUGAAUAUGUUCCCGAGCCUUGUACACACCGCCCGUCAAGCCACCCAAGCAGGAUGCACCCGAAAACAUUAUAUCUAACCAGGGUAACUUGGAGGAAAGUGUUGAAGGAGUGUUUUGUGAGGAGGACUAAGUCGUAACAAGGUAGUCGUAGGAGAACCUGCGGCUGGAUCACCUCCUUUCU